rnacentral:rRNA from 1 species
CGAACGAUGAAGCACCAGCUUGCUGGUGUGGAUUAGUGGCGAACGGGUGAGUAACACGUGAGUAACCUGCCCCUCACUCUGGGAUAAGCCUGGGAAACUGGGUCUAAUACUGGAUACGACCGAUCUCCGCAUGGAGUGUUGGUGGAAAGUUUUUGUGGUGGGGGAUGGACUCGCGGCCUAUCAGCUUGUUGGUGGGGUAAUGGCCUACCAAGGCGACGACGGGUAGCCGGCCUGAGAGGGCGACCGGCCACACUGGGACUGAGACACGGCCCAGACUCCUACGGGAGGCAGCAGUGGGGAAUAUUGCACAAUGGGCGAAAGCCUGAUGCAGCGACGCCGCGUGAGGGAUGACGGCCUUCGGGUUGUAAACCUCUUUCACCAGGGACGAAGCUAACGUGACGGUACCUGGAGAAGAAGCACCGGCUAACUACGUGCCAGCAGCCGCGGUAAUACGUAGGGUGCGAGCGUUGUCCGGAAUUAUUGGGCGUAAAGAGCUUGUAGGCGGUUUGUCGCGUCUGCUGUGAAAGACCGGGGCUUAACUCCGGUUCUGCAGUGGGUACGGGCAGACUAGAGUGUGGUAGGGGAGACUGGAAUUCCUGGUGUAGCGGUGAAAUGCGCAGAUAUCAGGAGGAACACCGAUGGCGAAGGCAGGUCUCUGGGCCAUUACUUAC